rnacentral:rRNA from 1 species
AUGUCUAUUGAAGUUGCUAAAGAAGACCUGGAGCUGCAGGCAACUUUAAACAAUGAACAACAGCUUGCUUUAGAUGAAAUAAUGGACCACGUCUUGAACCAGAAGGGUAAGGUCUUCUUCAUCGAUGGUCCAGGAGAUACAGGAAAGACGUACCUUUAUAAUGCUUUAUUGGCAAAAGUAAGAUCAAUGGGUUUGAUAGCCAUUCCAACAGCAACAUCUGGCAUUGCAGCUUCUGUCAUGCCUGGUGGUCGGACGACCCAUUCCAGAUUUAAAAUACCAAUAAAUGUUCAAGAAGAUACUGUGUGCAACUUCAGUAAGCAGAGUGGGACAACUGAAUUACUUCGAAGAGCAUCUUUGAUAAUUUGGGAUGAAGUUGCCAUGAAAAAAUGGCAAGCAGUUGAGGCACUUGAUAGAUCCCUGCAAGAUAUUACUGGUUGUAGAUCACAAUUUGGAGGUAAAGUAAUUGUGUUCGGAGGAGAUUUCCGACAAGUCCUUCCAGUAGUUAGGCGUGGCACUAGAGCCCAAAUUGUUAAUGCCACUCUCAGAAAAUCUUAUCUGCGGGAGGAUAUAAGACAAAUAAAACUCUGGCGCAAUAUGAGAGCACAAACAGAUCUAUGGUUCUCUGAUUUUCUCUUGAGAGUUGGCAAUGGCGUUGAAGAAUCAAUUGGUGAAGACUAUGUGCAUUUACCUGAAGAGAUGGUUGUAUGUUACACACAUUCAGAGACCUCGGUUAGUAAGUUGCUAAACGAAGUAUUUCCUUCACUUGACAAGAAUGGAAGAUUACCGUCUUAUAUAAGUUCUCGUGCCAUUCUUUCCACCAAAAAUGAAUACGUGGAUGAAUUAAAUGUGAAGCUUAUAGACCGAUUUCCUGGAGAAGAAAAGGUCUACUAUAGUUUUGAUUCAGCAGUGCAUGAUACUCACAAUCACUACCCACCUGAAUUCCUGAAUUCUCUCACACCUAAUGGCCUACCUCCACAUGUUCUCAGGUUGAAAAUAAAUUGCCCUGUGAUCUUGCUUCAGAAUUUAGAUCCUCAUAAUGGAUUAUGCAAUGGAACAAGGCUUAUUAUUAAGGCAUUUCAAGAUAAUGCUAUCGAUGCUGAAAUUAUUGGAGGACAACAUGCUGGAAAGCGAGUAUUCCUUCCAAGAAUACCUUUGUAUCCUUCUGAGAUGAUGUGCUUCCCUUCAAGUUCAAGAGAAAGCAAUUUCCAAUUCGUGUUAGCUUUGCAAUGA